AUGCACGCUGGCGGCGUGCCUAAUACAUGCAAGUCGCGCGAACAGACGAGGAGCUUGCUCCUCUGACGUUAGCGGCGGACGGGUGAGUAACACGUGGAUAACCUACCUAUAAGACUGGGAUAACUUCGGGAAACCGGAGCUAAUACCGGAUAAUAUAUUGAACCGCAUGGUUCAAUAGUGAAAGACGGUUUUGCUGUCACUUAUAGAUGGAUCCGCGCCGCAUUAGCUAGUUGGUAAGGUAACGGCUUACCAAGGCAACGAUGCGUAGCCGACCUGAGAGGGUGAUCGGCCACACUGGAACUGAGACACGGUCCAGACUCCUACGGGAGGCAGCAGUAGGGAAUCUUCCGCAAUGGGCGAAAGCUUGACGGAGCAACGCCGCGUGAGUGAUGAAGGUCUUCGGAUCGUAAAACUCUGUUAUUAGGGAAGAACAAAUGUGUAAGUAACUAUGCACGUCUUGACGGUACCUAAUCAGAAAGCCACGGCUAACUACGUG
rnacentral:rRNA from 1 species